UACGGAGGGGCGUAGCGUUGUUCGGAAUUACUGGGCGUAAAGCGCGCGUAGGCGGACUGGAAAGUUGGGGUGAAAUCCCGGGCGUCAACCUCGGAACUGCCUUCAAAACUAUCAGUCUGGAGUUCGAGAGAGGUGAGUGGAAUUCCGAGUGUAGAGGUGAAAUUCGUAGAUAUUCGGAGGAACACCAGUGGCGAAGGCGGCUCACUGGCUCGAUACUGACGCUGAGGUGCGAAAGCGU
rnacentral:rRNA from 1 species